CAGGGACCACCGCUCAGGUUCAAGGGUCUGCCUGGACCGCCGGGACCGCCGUCGCCACGGCAACAACAGCCAGGUCCCAUGGCUUUGUCACGCGGGAAGCGUGAACAUGGACCUGUGGCACAUGCUCGGUCAGGUGGUCUCCCGCAGGGUGAACGGCAAGCCCUCCCCAAAGCACCCACACAUCUCUGCAAAAGACUCAACCGGUGGGGGGCGGGGGUGGGAAGGCCCCUGAGCUCCUGCUAUCUGGGAGCAGUCAGCUCACCUCUGUUGGGUCACGUUGGAGAUUACCUGCCUGGAUAAACGACAUCGCCGCACGCACCUUGAACCCAGCCACGAGAUGACCCCGCCUCUCCCGUGCCCACCCACCGAUGAUACACUUGUUAAAGCCUCGUUAGAGUGGCAGCCAAUGAGAGCAUGCAAAGAGGCUAAAUUGAUGGGACUGUGUUUUGAUUGGGUCCCUGAGGACCUUGUAGGGCACCUUGGGGUGCUCAGUACCGACCCAAACCAAUUCAGUCCCCUGAUUGACUGACAGAUUCAUACCAACGGGACAGCCGGGCUUGGGUUUCACGAGAGGGUCGACAGUUGAAUUGAAAGGACUUUAUGAGUGUGCUCACAACCGCCUGAACAAAUGAAGACGUUAUUCCCA
ensembl:lncRNA